UUUCGUUUGAGCCCGCCCUUCCACCCACUCAAUCACGCGGGCGGUAUUGUAAUAAAAGCCGGAAGUCGGGGGCAGGGACGGUGGCCCGGAAGAAUCAAACGCGGCCAAGGCUUCGGGCCUUCCGCCCUUUUCGGGCCGGAGAAAAGAAUCGGGAGCUCGCCUUGGGGCGUGAGGCGAAGACUGCGCUAGGAAGAGGAGCUUUCCUAGCGAAGAACCCUAGAAUGGGGCACCCUGGAGAGGAGAAGGCGAGUUCAGACCCAGGGAGGCUGCGGGCAGGGGCGCCUACAGCAUCCACCAGGGCCGCGCUGCAGAUGGCCUUGCUUUAAAACUGCCCGCAGCCAGCGUUCCCGAGUGUGACCCACACUCUGUGCGGGUUAGAGCCUGGUCACUGCAGUUGGAGUAACUGGAAGAACAGUAUUAAAAGGCAGUUUCCUUCCCACUGUCUACGACUGAGAACUUGUCUGUGAAUCACUGCUACCACGGCGAGACCGUUUUCUCAUGUUGUACUGUGAGCACUGGUAUUUUUUUGAACAACUUUUGAAGAUUAAGCCUUUAGCUUUAUUUUUAAAGUUAUUAUUUUUGUCUUGAGACAGGAUGCCACUAUGCAGUUCAGGCUGGCCUUGGGCUCACUUUGUAGCCCAGGCUGAUCCAGCCUGAACUUGGUACAAUUCUCUUGCCUCAGCCUCCCCAGUGCUGGGCUUACAGGCAUGCGCCACCACGACCAAGAGCGUUUCAUUUUACAUAAUUUAGAUCUACUGGAAAAGUUGCCGAGAUGAUAGUUACGCAUACUCCCUGCAUCUGCUCCAGCGUCUUCAUCUCACAGUCAAAACUGAGAGACCAACACUGAAUAGCUGGACGCUAGGCUUUACUUGGAUCUCAAUACAUUUUCCAGAAAUGUUCUCUGUGCGCCAAGUCAAACCAAGAGCACUGAAACUGUAUUUAGUUUCCUUUACCAGUUCUAUCAGAAGUGGGGUUCUUGAAUAAUGAUCCCUAUUUGCUUGAUGGGGCAGCUAAGGUCAGUCAACAGGCCAGGUGACUUGUCCAGGCCAUAAGCAGGCUGACAAGGUCUAGACGUGUCUCCUGCCAAACUGGGAAAGCUAGGCCCUUAACCUUGUAGUCCCUCUGCGUUUGUCCUUUCUGUGCUGCUGUCUGCAGCUCCCUGUAAAGUCUCAAACAGCGCAGAGCUGCCCUCUCAGAGAGCCCUGUGUGCCCAAUUGGUUUCAUGGGUUAGUUAGCUGGUUGAAGUGUUGUUGCAGACAGCUCUGAUACAAAGCCUUAGAGGCCGAUACUUCUCUUUCCUGGAAACUGAUUGCCAAGAGCAGUCAAGGAGCUUUAACUUACCUCAGUACCAGCAAAGCGUUCUUUCAAAGGAUGUGGCAAUAGGUUUGCAUACUCUUGGCCAGCAUGGGAUGACACCCUCUUAACUUCAGGUCAGUCAGUCGUGGAAGAAAAUAAUCGCUAGUUGUUUCAUAUUGUUUUCUAAUCAUUAGAGGAUUUUUUUGUUUGCUUGUUUUUGGUACUGGGAUUAAACUCACAACCUCACACUUGCUAGGCAAGCACUUAUGCCACCAAGCUCAAUCCCCAGCCCUUAAUCAUUAGAGUUUGAGUGUCCAUUUACAGACAGACCUUGGGAUUUCUGCUUCACUGAAUGUUCAUUUUAGCUGCUUAUUUUUAGUUUAUGAGCACAUUUGUAGAUUAUGUAUUAAUCUUUGUUUGCCAUGUGUGUUAAAGACACAUACUGUCCACCAGACUGUAAA